AGAGCCAGGGCAGAGGUCCUAGGGAACUCCCUCCUAGACCAGGUGCAGGAAUGUGGUAGGACCUCACUUUAGGACCAGUCAUUUAAUGACAAACUUGAGUUACGACAGCCACAGAAUGAGUGCUUUAUGGCCCAUAAAGCAUUAUUAGCCAUCACAAAAUGUUGCACAAUUACUAUAGCCUGCAGUCACAUGACAUGAUCUGCAUGCUUGGCAACCUGUUCGCACUUAAAUCCAGUUUCCCUGGACUGAGUCUGGGGCUAGCUCCUGCGGGAACCUUUGUGCAAAUUAAACCCUUUCCUGGACCAGGAUUCGCUUCCAGUUUGGAUUACUGCAGUGCACUCUCCAGGGGGCUGCCCUUGAAGACCACUCAGAAACUAAAAUUGGUCGACUUCCGGUUGACAUCGCAGCGAGAUCGGAUACGAGGAGCGGGUCUCUGUCCUCCCGUGCCGAAUCCUCCCCGUUGGUGGGCUCCAAGGAGAGCCAAAGCUUCCCUGUAGGGGAGGGAAAGCAAAGAGGGGUGCCCUGCAUGGUCACGGAGAGUCACAACUCUCCUUCCUGACCCGAGGUUUUUCUUUCUCUCUCAGCCACAACGAGAAGAAGAGGCAGCCUAAAUCUGGCUGCCACGAAGCUGGGGCAACCAAGGAACACCUAAGACUGGUGCUGGAGCGGCGUUAAGUGAAUAGUGAUUGGAGCUGGAUUUUAUCACGUUUGAAACAACACUGAAACCUCUGUUGAUGCUGCCAUCAAAUCUAGCAAAAUUUUGACAGAAGAAAGAAGAAGAAAUAGGCAACAUGUUUUUGAAGGAUUGUGGUGAUCCUAAUUGUCCUAUAAUUAAUUAUUUUACUAUUGUGAUAAGGAAGACUUAAGUAAAGUGGCUUUUGUUGUGUGGAAACUGUCUUGACUAUUUAAAUGGAAUUGAUUAAUAACCCU